AACCGAUUUGAAUCCCAUUAUUGGUAAGUCAUAUAACCUCUUUUUCUUCCAUUUUGUAUUCAGACCCUGUACAUUAAUUGACAUCAAUCUCAACAUCAAAGAUUAUAAUCUUGUACAUAUUUCUAGUUCUAAAUUGAGUCUUACAAACUGCCAAAUUUAGGUUGACCAUACAUUUUAAACCGUGCAUACAUUCAACAAACAUAAACAACAAGUG